rnacentral:lncRNA from 1 species
UUAAAUUGAGGAUUCAAAACCUAAUCAAAUUCACCCAAUUUUUUUUCAUUAAAUUUCAACUCCCAUCAUGAAUACCCUCAUAAUAAACCCACCAAAUAUAUAAACGUCAUCUAUGGAGAAACCCACCUGGUACCAACAGAGGCUCAGGAGGUCCUGGUGCGACGUCGCCGGAUCCGCAAGAACUCGUGGACUGCUCAGUAUUUUCCAAGCUUGAGUCCAUCACCAUCAUCGCCGCUGUGCAGGAGAAGAUAGAGAUAGAGAGAUACGGGUUGUGGCGAUAGACGACGCUUCAGAUCUGGUGACCUCUCCUCACUCAUCUUUCUCUCUCAGCCUGCCUCUCAACUGUAACCACUAACCACUCAUAUGUCUAAACUUUCUCUAAAAUCCCCUCUCUAAAACUGUGUACUAGAGAUGGUAGGUAGUUGGUUGUGCAUAGAUGUAGGUCGUGAGUGGUGGUAAAAUCGGGUUACAGUGGUGGCGGCGGUGGUGGCGGAGGGGGUGGUGGGUUUAGAGAGAGAAAGGGAUGAUACAGAGAGCUGGGUUUAUGUCUGUAGAUGCCAUAUUUAUCUGA